AGCCUUCGGGCUCCGGUAAUAGGAGAAGGGGUCAUAAGACUCCUCGAGAGUCAGACUCCUUCGAGGAGCGUGAAAGGAAGCGGCUCCGGGAUUUGUUUACAGAACUGACAGAUGAGGAUUCCUUUGAGGGCUUUUCUCAGGGUUUGGAGGAAGAGAUGGCCAGCUCGGAGGAGGACGACAUGGAAUGGACUCGUGUGAGAGAGGAUUUGGGUGUUGGGGAAACAGGCAAUGAAAGCAUGGGAGGUGUUUGGCGGGUUGCAGGAUCAGACCCAUGGACUGGCUGGAGGGAUGGAGCGGGAUCCACAGCUGGGGAUGCUGUGGGGCGUAGUCAAAGGUGCUUAAGCUCUGAUGAGGAUGAUGAUGUUGGGGCGUCUGGAAUUGGGAUGGCAGCUGACAGCGAUGAUGAGCUUGAACUGGGAUAAAAUGGGGUUUGGGAUCAAUGCCUAAUUGCGUUGGGCAAGGUAAUCUGGACGGAGGCUUGGGCUUUUUGUUUGGGAACUUCCUGAAGACGGGUGUGAUUCGUUGCCUGGAUACCUUGAUCUCCGUCGUCUUUUUGACGGGCAAUACCUUCUCGCACUGAAUUGACGCUGGACUGAUUGACUUCGAUUCCGGAUUAUCCCUUCUGCUGACUACUGGUGAGACCUCUGGAUUUCUUGACGACUUCGCUUGGCUGUAGACCUCUGGACCGGAUUGGGACCCUGCUGACUGCCGUUACCCUGACUGCUGUGCCUGGACCUGGAUAUCGUUGGACGCUGAACCCUAAAUUGGAUCCUGACUACGACCACUCUUUUCGCUUGCUGCAGGAAGGAAUAAACAAGCCUGGUUUAUUCCCCUGCUGUGUCUGAGUAGCAGAGAGGAAUCUGCCACCAGCCUGUUGUUUACGUUUUGUUUCCUGCUGAUUCUCCUUUGUUUGCUUUGUUUGCCAAGCUGAAGUAAGCUCUUUUAUUUAAUCCGGAUUAUACUUCUGUUUAACCCGGUUUAUUCCUUUGAACCGUUUAAGCUCAAGCUGAGCUGUUUUUUGUUACUUUUCACACUGAAGUUAAGUGUUUGCCCUGUUCUUUGUCUUUUACGGGCGUUUUUGGUUCUGUAACCUCAAUAAACUGAGUUUUGUUUUA